GCACGAGAAAGGGCUUCGGCCCCGGUACAGUGGCGCACGGGUGAGUAACACGUGGGUAAUGUUCCCUCGGGCGGGGGAUAACCCUCCGAAAGGAAGGCUAAUACCGCAUAAGACCACGGCUUCGAAAGAGGCCGAGGUAGAAGCAGGCCUCUUCAUGAAAGCUUGCACCUGAGGAUCAGCCCGCGGCCCAUCAGCUAGUUGGCAGGGUAAGAGCCUACCAAGGCUAAGACGGGUAGCUGGUCUGAGAGGAUGAUCAGCCACACUGGAACUGAGACACGGUCCAGACUCCUACGGGAGGCAGCAGUGGGGAAUCUUGCGCAAUGGGCGAAAGCCUGACGCAGCGACGCCGCGUGGGUGAUGAAGGCCUUCGGGUUGUAAAGCCCUGUGGGGAGAGACGAAUAAGUCGGAGCCAAUACCUCCGGCGAUGACGGUAUCUCCUUAGCAAGCACCGGCUAACUCUGUG
rnacentral:rRNA from 1 species